rnacentral:lncRNA from 1 species
AGACAAUAGAGGAGAACUGUUUGUAUCCUAGGAAAAGAACACUCUUCUUCUCCAUCCAUUGCUUCAGCACUUCCAGUUGUUGACUUCUGCUGUCUGCCUUCACUGUGUAGAAGUCAUACAGAGGUAUGUCCUCCACCUGCCAUAUUUGAAACUCCUUUUUCCAUGUUGACAAUAUUCCCUUAGGAAGCACCACUAAGGGUCUUGCAUUCGGAUACUUGCCUAGAAAACUUUGCAUGAAACUGAUUAUCAUGAAUGUUUUCCCAGAUCCUGGAGCAUGGGCUAAGAUGCAGCCACCAGGAUGGUCACCUGCAAGAUUUCUACCAAGAAAAUUGAAUCCUUCAACUUGAUGGGGUUUCAUCUGUUUCAUGUGUCUAGGGUGCGCUGGGAUUUCAGUAACCAUGAGGUCAUCUCCA